rnacentral:tRNA from 1 species
GGAAAGGUGGCAGAGUGGUUGAAUGCAUCAGUCUUGAAAACUGACGAUGUGAGAGCAUCCGUGGGUUCAAAUCCCACCCUUUCCG